rnacentral:lncRNA from 1 species
AAAUAUUUCUUCUGUUUUUUUUCCUGUUUAAUCCCCUGGUAUUUCUAUUAUGUGUAUGUUACACCUUUUGUAAUUGUUUUACAGUUCGUGGAUAUUCUAUUCUUUUUUUCUUUAGCAUUUAUUUCAAAAUCAUAGUUAUUUUAAAUUCCCAGUUUGAUAAUAGCAACAUCAUUACCAUAUCUGAGUUUUGUCUUAUGCUUGUUCUGUCUCUUCAAACUGUGUUUUUUUUUUUGCCUUUUAGUAUGUAUUCUAGCUUUUUUCUUUUUGAAAUUCAGACAUGAUGUACUCAGAACUAGUUUCCAUGGUGGUUUCUGCUCCAGUAAGUUGUGAUUCUCUGUAUCUGCCUGUCAUCUCUCCAGCUUUGGAGGCAGUGGUUUGCUCUGUGACUUCAAUUUUCUGACAGACCUAAAUGGAAUUGUUGGUUUAGUUUGUUCAGCUUUUUACUUGUUAUUAGGAUAGAGUGACAACUUACAAAUCAUUAUAUUCCAGACCAGAAACCAGAAAUCUCUCGAUGCCAUUUUAUUUUCUAUUGAUCUAAUUAUGACUGAAAUUGGGCAUAUUUUCAUAUUUUUCUAUGUAUAAGGGAUAUUGAUCCUUCUGUGAACUUUGCCCAUCAUAUCCUCUUCCAGUUUAGACUUUGAAUUAUCAUUGUUUCCUUCUUUAUUUUCAAGAACUCUUUAUAUGUUGGGGAGAUGAUUAGCUCUGUUUGUGAAAUGAGUUGCGUUUCACCCCCAUGCAUUUUUCCAUUUGUCUUCUGACUCUACUUAUGGUAUAUAUAUUUUAAGACCGCACCCGGGGCAUAUAGAAGUUCCUGGGGCAGGGACUGAAUCCAAGACACAGCUUCAACCUAUAUUGGAGCUAUGACAAUGCCACAUCCUUUAAACCACUGUGACAGGCUGGGAUCAAACCUGUGCUUUUGCAGCAACCCAAGCGGCUGCAGUUGAAUUUUUAACACACGCACCAGAGUGGAAACUCCAUUGCUGUUGUGGCUCAGUGGGUUAAGAACCUGACAUAUUGUCCAUGAGGAUGCAGGUUUGAUUCCUGGCCUCGUUCAGUAGGGUUAAGGACACAGAGUAUGUUGGAGAUGUGGCAUGGACCUGGCGUUGCUGUGGCUGUGGCAUAGGCUGGCACCUGCAGUUCUGAGUUGACCCCUAGCCUGGGAACUUCCAUAUGCCUCAGGUAUGGCCAUAAAAAGAGAAAACAAAACAAAACAAACCAAACCAAACCACUGGUCUAGAUCAGUGCUUUUCAAACUGUGUUAUGCAAAUAAAUCAACCAAAGAUAGUUAUAAUACAAAUUAUGAAUCAUAAACAGUGGCCCAAGAUUUUUGCAUUUUUAAAAAGCUUCCAGGUGAUGUUGAUGAUGCUGGUCUGAGAACCACAUUUUGAACAGCAAGAGAUGGAGGUAGCUGACAUGUGGUUACUGAUAUUGCUCAAUUGCCUUCCAAGAGGGUUCUAAUUUAUCAUGAGUUGAGACUGCUACUGUUACUGAAAGUGGGGUUGGCUGCUUGUGGUGUUAAAGCCUUUAUUUCAGAGGAUAGCAACUGCGGGGUGGGGUGGGGCCAGCCUUGAGUCCAAAGGCUGAUACCCCCACUGACAAUCAGUGAGGAAGAGCAAUAUAGGCAGAGGGAGGGGGCUACAUGCAGAAACAGCACAGUCAGCUCUGAGAGAUUUUUUUUUUUUUUUUGCUUUUUAGGGUCGCACCUGAGGCAUAUGGAGGUUCCCAGGCUAGGGGUCAAAUCAGAGCUAUAGCUGUGGCCUAAACCAUAGAGUCUGCGACCUACACCACAGCUCAUGGCAACGGCGGAUCCUUAACUCAUCGAACAAGGCCAGGGAUCGAACCUGCAUCCUCAUGAAUCCUAUUUGGGUUCGUUAAAUGGUAAGCCAAGAAGCAAAUUCCCUAUUUUAGCCUUCUUUAAAGCUGGGUGGUCAUGUGACCACACUUAGCCUACUGAGAUGCCAGUAGAAGUCACUGUCCAGGGAGAGGGCAUGGUCCUUCCUCUCCUGGCCUCUCUUCUCCAGCUCAGGUGUAGCCAAGGCAAUGGUUGCUCAGGAAGCCUGCUUGAGCCACCAAGUGGAAGCUAUAUGCUGAAGGUGGCAAAAAUGGGAGAACAGAAGCCUGGUUUCCUGGAAAGAUGGAGUCUCACCUACCACUAGAAGUCUUUUAUGUGAGCAACGGCCUCUCUUUUUAAAGCACUGUUCUUUUAGAUUGCAGAAAAACUUAAUCCUAGAGAUACUUCUGGCUUCCAGCAGAUCAUGGGUGUAUCUUCUGAUCUGUGACAGUGGUGUGAGCUGGAUCUUGAAAAGUAGGGAUGUUGCAGUCAGAGAAGGGAGGGAAGGCUGAGGAGACAGAAGAUGGACAGACAUGAAGCUGUGAGAGGGCUUGGCCGGUGUUUGGUUCACUGUUGCUGCAGAACAACCCCCUCGAAAAUUUAGAUGCUUGAAAUGAGAAGAGGGUGUCACAUUGCAUGCUUCUGUGGGCUGGCUGGGCUCCAUGUGGUCUCAGCUGGGGAAUGCCUCUCUGGCUGCAUCAAGCUGGUGGAUGCUGAGCUGGGGGUUGCAGAAAGCAUCUUUCACAUCUCUGAAACCUUGGUUUGGGCAGGGGAGGGGGAGGCCCUGGUGCUCCUCCAUGUGGCCUCUCUCCUUCACGAGGUGAUCAUCCCCCAGGGUCUCUCUCAUGGCUGCAGAGCCUCAACUUCCCUCUGGGGUGACUCUGAGAUCCAAGAGGGUAAAAGUGGCAGGUCAGCCUUCUUCUUCUUCUUCUUCUUUUUUUUUUUUUUUGGUCUUUUUGUCUUUUUAGGGCCACACCAGCAGUGUAUGGGUGUUCCCAGGCUAGGGGUCCAAUUGGAGCUGUAGCUGCUGGCCUAUAGCAGAGCCACAGCAAUGUGAGAUCCCAGUCACACCUGUGACCUACACCACAGCUCAUGGCAAUGCCAGAUCCUUAACCCACUGAGCAAGGCCAGGGAUCGAACCGGUGUCUUCAUGGAUGCUAGUCGGGUUCACUCACCACUGAUCCAUGACAGGAACUCCAGGUCAGCCUUCUUGGUGGUAGGAACGUUCCUGGAUGUGGCCACCUCACCCACAUGUCCUUCUCUGGGCC